GGGAUCCGGCUUUGGGACGCAGCUCGAGGUGACGGACCACUGCCACAGGCUCGUGGGCACAAGUGGCGCUGCGCGGGCACUUUGGGGGUUAGGUGUGCGUGGGCCGCCGGGGCGCAUUUCCUGCACGUGGCUCCUCGCCGCCCUCCCUCCUCCACCAGCAAGGAGAGCAGAGGUCCAGGAGUUCUAGGAAGAUGCGUGCGGUUCCCUGGUCCUGGCAGGCAGGACAGCAUCAGGAUGGUCGCGCGCGCCACCUGCCAGGGCCAGUCACUGGCAGAUCCCCUACGCUCUUGUUCUGGCUAACUGGACCAGGAGAUGCGUACCUCCGCGGGCCCAACUGUGAUCCUAGAGAGUUAACUAAGGUGGGAGGGGAUGGAGCAGGCAAGACUUGAGAAAAGCAAAGUACCAGAGUGUAGUUGAGGGGUGCCAGGCAACUCGUGAGAAAAGGACUCUCCCUUGGUGCUCUGAAGGUUUCUGGAGAACUUGGGUGGUUAAAUGCCAGGGUGCACGUGGAGGCGGGGGGGGGGAGGGAGGACUCCUGACCUACCUUGGUUUCUCUCCCACCAACCCGAUAAUGGAGGGAGAGGCGUGGGCUUGGCGCGUUUUGGGGGCUUUGAAUGGAGAACUCCGUUUCCCAUAAUGCUUUGUUUCUUUCUGUUUAAUUUUGGUGGCCGAUAAGGUGUCUUGAGGACCUAAGCGCGUGGCAUGACUGGCUGGAGCACACCCUGCGUUCCCAGGAGGUUCACAGAUCUCUAUUGGAGCCGCUGCUGAAGAUGCGGGAAUAGACCAGAGAAAAUCCCGAAAUGGUGAGUCUGCAGAUCUGGCAAAGAAGAGCUCGUGGAAGACUUCAAGGUUGCACUCCUGGAAUAUGCCUUGGCCAUGUC
ensembl:processed_transcript uncharacterized LOC110286160